UUUCUGUUACUUUUCAUCCUGGCAUCCACCUCUGAAUCUUCAUCUUCGAUGGCGUCACCACCAUUACCAAACCCUAAUCCCCAAAAUUCGUAUCUGUCUCUUACGAUUCAGAACAUCGGCAGUAUGGUUCCUAUCAAGCUCAAGCGCACCAACUAUCUCCCAUGGCGUGCCUUGUUUGCUCCUAUUCUGCGUCGCUACAAG
rnacentral:lncRNA from 1 species